GAUGAACGCUAGCGGCAGGCUUAACACAUGCAAGUCGAGGGGUAUAGUUCUUCGGAACUAGAGACCGGCGCACGGGUGCGUAACGCGUAUGCAAUCUACCUUUUGCAGAGGGAUAGCCCCAGAGAAAUUUGGAUUAAUACCUCAUAGUAUAGCAGUUUCGCAUGAAACCACUAUUAAAGUCACAACGGCAAAAGAUGAGCAUGCGUCCCAUUAGCUAGUUGGUAAGGUAACGGCUUACCAAGGCUACGAUGGGUAGGGGUCCUGAGAGGGAGAUCCCCCACACUGGUACUGAGACACGGACCAGACUCCUACGGGAGGCAGCAGUGAGGAAUAUUGGACAAUGGGCGCAAGCCUGAUCCAGCCAUGCCGCGUGCAGGAUGACGGUCCUAUGGAUUGUAAACUGCUUUUGUACAGGAAGAAACACUCCCUCGUGAGGGAGCUUGACGGUACUGUAAGAAUAAGGAUCCCGGNUAACUCCGUGCCAG
rnacentral:rRNA from 1 species